GAUGAAGAACGUAGCGAAAUGCGAUACUUGGUGUCAAUUGCAGAAUCCCGUGAACCAUCGAGUCUUUGAACGCAAGUUGCGCCUCAAGCCAUUAGGUUGAGGGCACGUCUGCCUGGGCGUCACAUAUCGUUGCCUGAUGCCAGUUUCCUCGUGAUGGGUGACUGUGCAGGGCGAAUGAUGGCUUCCCGUGAGCAUUGUUGCCUCAUGGUUGGUUGAAAAUUGAGUCCUUGGUAGGGAGCGCCGUGAUAGAUGGUGGUUGAGUGACGAACGAGACCCAAUCAUGUGAGACCCCUACCGAAUUUGGCCUUCAUGACCCACAUGCGUCUUUGGAACGCUCAUGACGAGACCUCAGGUCAGGCGGGGCUACCCGCUGAGUUUAAGCAUAUCAAUAAGCGGAGG
rnacentral:misc_RNA from 1 species